AGCGAACGCUGGCGGCAGGCCUAACACAUGCAAGUCGAACGAACCCUUCGGGGUUAGUGGCGGACGGGUGAGUAACGCGUGGGAACGUGCCUUUAGGUUCGGAAUAACUCAGGGAAACUUGUGCUAAUACCGAAUGUGCCCUUCGGGGGAAAGAUUUAUCGCCUUUAGAGCGGCCCGCGUCUGAUUAGCUAGUUGGUGAGGUAAAGGCUCACCAAGGCUACGAUCAGUAGCUGGUCUGAGAGGAUGACCAGCCACAUUGGGACUGAGACACGGCCCAAACUCCUACGGGAGGCAGCAGUGGGGAAUCUUGCGCAAUGGGCGAAAGCCUGACGCAGCCAUGCCGCGUGGAUGAUGAAGGUCCUAGGAUUGUAAAAUCCUUUCACCGGUGAAGAUAAUGACUGUAGCCGGAGAAGAAGCCCCGGCUAACUUCGUGCCAGCCGCCGCAGUAAAAC
rnacentral:rRNA from 1 species